AAGCCCUAUGUAUGUGUUGAUGAGACAACCAUUAUUAUUUUACAAUUAUUAAUAGCUAUAUUGAUCAUUCAUAUUUCAAUCGGCAUCCUUAGAGGUUGUGUCUUAAAGCUCUUUACAGUUUGUUUUUAUUGAAGUAAGCUAUUAAUUAAUAUCUAUAUUAAUAUGAAGUUGUGGUUUAUAUUAACGUUUUUGUUACUCGCGAUGACGCUAGUAACGGCCCGCCCGAAACUCAAUCGUAAUGUUCUUUCGGGGCUCAAGAAUGCAGUGCUAACAAGUUCGCGUAUGAUGCAGCUGUAUAGCAGAAAUAAACCAAAAAAGGGUUAAAAUCA